UGCAGUUAACCCCCCACCCCCAAUUCAUUCCAUUAGUCAGUUUCAUCCCCCACCCACCUAUCUUCUCCCUUCCUCACCGCUCCCUCUCAUCGCAGCGAUUCCGGUGAGCGGGCGACGCUUUUCCCACCAAGCCCAGCCGCUCGUCGACGGUGAGGGCUUCAUCCACCACGGGCGGCAUUAUUGCCGGCCAUUGAGGUUUUCGAUUUUGUAAGAUGGUCGGAGAGGAUUUGAACAAUGGUGUUGAUGAUUGCAUGGAUAUCUCAGGUAGAUUGCAUUGUGGCGUCAAUAAUCCCCCAAACGAGUUUGCCUCAAAGCAUGCUAUCAACCUCAGUCUUUUUGGCGGUGCGGCAAAUUUCAACAAGUGGAUGGAUGUGAAUGUGAGCCCAUCUUUCCCUCCUCGGACCAGGAGUAAAGUCAAAAAUCUCAUUGGUGAGUUUGCGUCUGGCAUGAGCUCCAGACUUCGAAGCAGUUCCUGGAGGAUAGUGUGAAGGGUACCCUCAAUAAGUACAAGCGGAAGAUUUGAUUAUUGGGAGAUUUUGCUCUUACAUUCUUUUUUACAAGGGAAUGUAAGGUACUGCUCGCUUUCUUCAUAUCUUUUUACUGCACUUUUAUCGUCAUUGCACCUCAUGUAGUUGAAACAUAGUGUUCUUUUUAUGUGUGCCAUUUUAUUAGCCAUAACUUUGAUUUGUAAUGACUAAUUUAGUGUGUCCUACACAUUUUCUAGAGUGUGAUAGUAAUGGGACAUUAAUGUGUGUUAGUAAUGGUAUAGAUGUUUUCGGUGCA